rnacentral:rRNA from 1 species
GACGGAAGGUGCAAGCGUUGCUCGGAAUCACUGGGCGUAAAGGGUGCGUAGGCGGCUUGGUGGGUCUGGUGUGAAAGCCCCGGGCUCAGCCCGGGAAGGGCACUAGAAACUGCCGAGCUGGAGUGCCGGAGGGGAGACUGGAAUUCCUGGUGUAGCGGUGGAAUGCGCAGAUAUCAGGAAGAACACCUAUGGCGAAGGCAGCUCUCUGGGACGGUACUGACGCUGAGACGCGAAAGCGUGGGGAGCGAACAGG